CUGUAACUAACUUUGAUGUUUCUCGACUCAUUGCUACGGCACUGCUAAGAAAAGGAUAACUGAGCUCUACAUGGUCCUCCGACGGUGCACUGUGCAUGCUGCAGCCUUGCAUAGUGAUCCCGUUAGAGGGGCUAAUGCUGUGAAAAAUGACAGUAAACUGGCACUUUUGCUGCCAUCACCACCACUUUGGGGCCGCCUGCCGCCUACAGACCUGUUGCCUGGCAACUCCCCAGACAGCAUUUCUCCAAAAAGAGGCGAGAGCUCCUGUCUGCUGUGCUGCGAUAGAGACCCACGCCUAAUAAGCAUUAUAUCUCAUUUUGUCUUAUCAUUCUGUUGUUAUUGACACAAGUUGGCUUGGAGCGAAGACUUUGCAACGAUCGCUAAUGUAGAAUGUCUUUCUCUUGUUGAAUAAACAUUAUGACUUAA